ACCUGGCUAGCUCAGCUGGUAGCGUAUGGGACUCUUAAUCUCAGGAACGUGGGCUUGAACCCCAUGCUGAGUG